CACUGAGGGAUAAAACCCCUAAAGAUGAAACCCUAGAACUGCCCCUGGAGAGAGAUCAACAAGGCUUUAUACGCUUUUCUCUUUGCCCGCACUUUAGCGACGCUCCCUAAUGGUUCACCUGCACAGACUGAGCACUUUGACUCGUGUUGUUGGGGUAAAACGCUGUAAUCACACCGGCUCCGAAUGAAACCCCACAGAUAAACAGCAGUACAACCUCGUUGAAAUCAUCUGAUUGGUCGGCGAAUACGUAAUGUCCUGCUCCUCUGAUGACCUACGAGACAAUAAGAUAGAUGCCUCCUAAUUGGUCUGAGGAUCGAGGCAACAUCACCGGAGACUUCAGGAAGCUUUUACCCACACUGGGAUCCUGCAGUGGGGCUCCUGCACCUCGGGCCUUUCUGAGAUACCCCACGGUUCCACCAGGAUCAGGUUCUUCACUCUGAACAGAGAGGUAGAAGACUCUCACCUGUGUGGGUGUGUCAGAGCGUAUGACAUUGAGAUGAACCCUCCAAGAUCAUGACCCAACAAAAUCAUAAGCUCCACCCCCACAACCUCCCUCCACUCCUCCAGCGAUUGGACAAACUUCUCCUCUGCUUCCUGGGCGUGGCUGCCUGCCAUUGGCCGGCUGCUCUGUCCGAAGCCCAGCAGGUCCAGAGCGUAUACGGUUCUCCCGCUGAGCGCCAGAGCGGCCAGGUUCUUUACCCACAAUCCCACUCCGCCCCCAAACCCGUGCAGCAGCACCAACGGGAUCUGAGAACGCUUCGAGUCUUGUGCCUCAUUAAAGCCGAGAGUCCAGAUGUAGUUCCUGUUCGAGAUUGGAACAUGUCUUCUGCUGAAGCUCUGUGUGAGAGCUGAAGACUCCACCUGAGUGAUUAGAGAGAUGACGCUUUGCUCUCGGAGACACUUACGUUGGAGAAUUCUGUCCUCUGCGUUUUUAAGAUGAGACGGUGAUGUGGGGCACCAGGAGGGCAGCCAGCUGGAGAACCACCACCAUCUGUCACAUGCACACCAUCACACAUCAUACAAAGGGUUCUGAAUUUAUUAACGAUGAAAAUGUUCGUGUUUAAUUAGACAAAAAUCUGUUUAAAUACAGAACUUCACAAUUCAAAUGGAAAAAAUACUGCUCAAGGAAUAUCAGCGGUCAACUGACAAAUGGUGUGUGUGUGUGUCUGUCUGUGUGUCUGUCUGUGUGUCUGUCUGUGUGCCUGUGUGUUUUUCCAAAGUGUAUAAUAGAGAAUUCAAGUUUUUAUUCAGUAGUGAACACAUUAGUACACACACACACACACACACACACACACCAUCCUUACCUCUGUCUGCACACCGGAGGAUCGUGUCGUGCUCUGUCCAUGUCCACUCUUGUAAAUAAUAAACCUCUCACCCAGUUGA